rnacentral:rRNA from 1 species
ACGGAGGAUGCAAGCGUUAUCCGGAUUCAUUGGGUUUAAAGGGUGCGCAGGCGGAAUGAUAAGUCAGUGGUGAAAUCAUACAGCUCAACUGUAGAACUGCCAUUGAUACUGUUGUUCUUGAGUACACUUGGAGUGGGCGGAAUGUGUCAUGUGACGGUUAAAUUCUUAUAUAUGACACAGAACACUGAUCGCAAAGGCAGCUCACUAAAUUUGAACUGGCUCUCAUGCACGAAAGCGUUGGAAUCAAACAG